GAUGAACGCUGGCGGCGUGCCUAAUACAUGCAAGUCGAGCGAACAGACGCGGAGCUUGCUCCUCUGACGAUAGCGGCAGACGGGUGAGUAACACGUGGAUAACCUACCUAUCAGACUGGGAACACUUCGGAAAAACGGAGAUAAUCCCGGAUAAUCUAUUGAACCGCAUGGUUCAAUAGUGAAAGACGGUUUUGCUGUCACUAAUAGAUGGAUCCGCGCCGCAUUGGCUAGUUGGUAAGUUCAAGGCUUUCCACGGCAAGCAUGCGUAUCCGACCUGACAGGCGGCUCGCCCACAUUGGAACGUAGCCGCGGACCAUACGCCUACGGGACGCAGCAGUAUGGUAUCUUCCGCAAUGGUCGAAAGCAUGACGGAGCAACGCCGCGUGAGAUAUGACGGUCUUCGGAUCGUAAUGCCCUGUUACGAGUGAUGAACAAAUUUGGAAGUAACUAUGCACGUCGUGACGGUACCUAGUCAGAAAGCCACGGCUAACUACGUG
rnacentral:rRNA from 1 species